UGUUGAUGAUGACAAAUUCAAAGGCUUGUUUCUCAAAAACAUUCGCAGUGGCCGCCUAAGAGCUUUCGCCUUCGCCAGGCUUGAGAGAUUGUGCUGCUUUAUUCCUUCCUUGGAUGUCUGAAACU
rfam:Gossypium hirsutum cultivar TM-1 chromosome 18, whole genome shotgun sequence